GAUCAUGGCUCAGGAUGAACGCUGGCGGCGUGCCUAAUACAUGCAAGUAGAACGCUGAAGCUUGGUGCUUGCACCGAGCGGAUGAGUUGCGAACGGGUGAGUAACGCGUAGGUAACCUGCCUCUUAGCGGGGGAUAACUAUUGGAAACGAUAGCUAAUACCGCAUAAAAGUCGACAUCGCAUGAUGUUGACUUGAAAGGUGCAAUUGCAUCAACUAAGAGAUGG
rnacentral:rRNA from 1 species